UACGAGGGGGCGAGCGUUGUUCGGAAUUAUUGGGCGUAAAGGGUGCGUAGGCGGUUCGGUAAGUCUUGUGUGAAAUCUUCGGGCUCAACUCGAAGUCUGCACGAGAAACUGCCGGGCUUGAGUGUGGGAGAGGUGAGUGGAAUUUCCGGUGUAGCGGUGAAAUGCGUAGAUAUCGAGAGGAACACCAGUGGCGAAGGCGAGUCCCUGGACAACUCCUGACACUGAGGCACGAAAGCUAGGGGAGCAAACAGG
rnacentral:rRNA from 1 species